rnacentral:rRNA from 1 species
UACGUAGGGGGCAAGCGUUGUCCGGAAUCAUUGGGCGUAAAGAGCGCGUAGGCGGUCCGGUAAGUCCGCUCUGAAAGUCCGGGGCUCAACCCCGGGAGGCGGGCGGAUACUGUCGGGCUAGAGUCCGGAAGAGGCGAGUGGAAUUCCUGGUGUAGCGGUGAAAUGCGCAGAUAUCAGGAGGAACACCAAUGGCGAAGGCAGCACUCUGGGACGUGACUGACGCUGAGACGCGAAAGCGUGGGGAGCAAACAGG